rnacentral:rRNA from 1 species
CGCAUCUGUGCAUGCAGCAUAUCAAUAAGCGGAGGAAAAGAAACUAACAAGGAUUCCCUUAGUAACGGCGAGUGAAGCGGGAAGAGCUCAAAUUUGAAAUCUUCAAGGUUUUACCUUGACGAAUUGUAGUUUAAAGAAGUGUUUUCUGUUGAGGUUUUGGUAAAAGUUCUUUGGAAUAGGACAUCAUAGAGGGUGAGAAUCCCGUAUUUGACCAUUAUUUUCAGCUGCGUGAUACACUUUCAAAGAGUCGGAUUGUUUGGGAAUGCAGUCCAAAAUGGGUGGUAAAUUUCAUCUAAAGCUAAAUAUUGGCGAGAGACCGAUAGCGAACAAGUACCGUGAGGGAAAGAUGAAAAGAACUUUGAAAAGAGAGUUAAACAGUACGUGAAAUUGUCAAAAGGGAAGCGUUUGACACCAGUGUUGUUUUCUCGAAAAUCAAUUAAAAAGAGUUAGAUUUUGUUGUGUAUUGACCUUAACAGCUUGCAUUUCAAUUUUCUUGCUUUUUUUAAUGCACUUUUCGUUUAACAAGUCAACAUCAGUUUCUUUCGUUGUAAAAAGGUCAUUGGAAGGUGGCUUUCUUUUCGGAGAAAGUGUUUAUAGCCUUUGACUCCUGCAAUCGGAGAGACUGAGGUCUGCAGCGUAGAUCCUUCGGGGUUAGAUACAUUUGUGCUAAGUUAUAGCUUUUUAUAGACAACUUGUUGACUAUGAUUAGUCUUGUAGCUUACUCGCUUAUGCUAUUUUACCUACGCUUAGGAUGUUGACACACGCGCGUGCUCG